rnacentral:rRNA from 1 species
UAGUCCACGCCCUAAACGAUGUUUACUCGAUGUUUGACUCGUAGAUUUGAGCAUCCAAGCGAAAGCGUUAAGUAAACCACCUGGGGAGUACGUUCGCAAGAAUGAAACUCAAAGGAAUUGACGGGGGCCCGCACAAGCGGAGGAACAUGUGGUUUAAUUCGAUGAUACGCGAGGAACCUUACCUGGACUUAAAUGUAGAUUGCAUAGAGUGGAGACAUUCUUUUCUUCGGACUAUCUACAAGGUGCUGCAUGGUUGUCGUCAGCUCGUGCCGUGAGGUGUCGGGUUAAGUCCCAUAACGAGCGCAACCCCUAUCGUUAGUUGCUAGCAGGUAAUGCUGAGAACUCUAGCGAGACUGCCACCGUAAGGUGUGAGGAAGGUGGGGAUGACGUCAAAUCAGCACGGCCCUUACGUCCAGGGCUACACACGUGUUACAAUGGCGGGUACAAAGGGCAGCUACAUAGCGAUAUGAUGCUAAUCUCAAAAACCUGUCUCAGUUCGGAUAGG